rfam:Sphaeroforma arctica JP610 cont1.6129, whole genome shotgun sequence.
UGGGAAUUAACUCAGUUGGUAGAGUGCGUGCUUAGCAUGCACGAAGUCGGGAGUUCAAUUCUCUCAUUCUCCA